GUGGUUCAGUGGUAGAGUGCUUGCCUUGCAUGCAAGAGGCCCUGGGUUCAAUUCCUCAGC
rnacentral:tRNA from 1 species